UAGCUGAAUGACCUUUGGGCUCAGUGUCCUCAAUUAUUAAGUAAUAAUAGAUUCUUUCUCCUGGAAUUUUAAUGGCACUUAAACCAAACAAAGCAGGUAAAGCACUUAGCCCACAAGAAGCAAGUGGACAAUCAAUGUUAGUCAUCAUAAGACUAAAAAUUAACUUAAGCAUCAAGGUAUGCAAACUAUGGAAUAUAGGCAGUAGGCACCCACUCACUUAAGAACUAUUGAUAUUGCACUUACUAUGUGCCAGGCACAGAUCAACACACUUCAUUUUUUUAAAAUCCUUUUAUUAGUUCUCCCAGCAACUUCAGGAGACAGGUACUAUUACUUUGCCCUACUUUAAAUAUGAGGAAGCAGAGGCACACAAUUACCAAGCUGCACAUCCGAGAUUCAAUCUCAGGUUCCCUUGACGAUGCUCUUCCAGUGCUGUCCAAUGGAACUUUCCGCAAUAAUGGAACUCCUCUGUCUGUGCUGUUGACACUAGCUACUGGGCACGCAGGGCAACUGAGUCCUUGAAAUGUGACUGGAUUUCCAAGCAGAAUGUUCAUAUCUUUUUCUGUACGUAGACUGACUCAGCCUUGCCACAAUUUUGUGGGCGAAGUGGAGUCUUAACUUCUCCAGCUGAAAAACAAGAAAACAUAUUCUGUCUACUGCAAGUAUUAGCGACAUGAAAUGCCUGGCUCAUGUUUCAGCACCUCCGUCAUUGUCCAAGACGUUUCAAGAAAGCCAAAAGAAGUUGAGAAGCUCAUUGUCAUAAUCUCUGUUGAUCAGGAAAUGUAGAAAUCAAAGAGGAUUACGUGAGUUCAGGAUUUUCCUCCAUAUUCAUGUCCCCUGGAUUCAACAUUGUAAUAAUAAUGAAGACUGAACAAAUUUGACUUGAAAAUUUUGGGGGUCUUUCUAACAAAACAGAAAUAGGUAAUGGAACAUCUCAAGCUCGGCUCAGAAUGUAACAUUUUUCACAAUCCGCUGUCUGAAUUACUCAAACUUUGAUAUCUAAUCUUGAUAUCUCAUAAGGUCAGUCUUCUCGCCUUAUUCAUCUGCAUGAUUAUCUUGGUUAUCUUGGGUCUUUCUCAUCUUCGCAUAAAUUUUAGAAUUAUCCUAUCAGGUUACAUACACAAAAAUGCAAGCACACAAAAACGUGAUGGAAUUUUUAUUGGGAUGACACUGAAUCUAAAUCAAUUAGAGAAGAAUUGAAAUAUUUAAUAGAGUUUUAAUAGAGUAUUUAAAUAGAGUAGAAUAUUUAAUAGAGUUCUAUUUAAAUUUAGAAGCAUGGAGGAGAGGUCCCCACAGCUGGGACUUAGACCUCUGAAGAGGAAAUGCGGGUGGGAGGAAGGGGUCACACAAUGAAGCUGGUUUGGUAAAUGUAGAAAAAACUGCAAACUGUGUGCAGCUGCCGUGUCACGAAGGAAUUGCUGCUGCCAAGGUGAGGGAGUAUUGCUGGCGUGACGCUCACACGAGCUUCGAGCAAACAAGAAGCCCGCAGGAACCCACAAGAAGGAGCAAGUCCCUUCAGCUUCCUCCAGCCUUGCAAGUCUCCCUCUGGACUCUCUGCUGGUAGAGCCUAACAGGGCAAGCAAAAGGUGGCUUGCAGAGUCCAGGUCCCAGCAUCACUAAGCGAAUGAUAGACGGUGGUUUGGAAGCCAACUGGCCCACUCUCUUAUUUGUGUCUCCAUUCUCCCCUUCGUUCCUACUUUCCUCAAACCCAAUCUUAUCUGGUCUCUGGGAGAAAUCUCAAGCCAGCAAACAUGCCUCUGAGAAACUUCCAGUACUUCCACAGGUCAGCAGUUUCUUAGAUCCUUGCUUCAAUUUCAUGGGAGAGGGAAGAGAAAUUGGCCUCAACGCAUGAGAGAGAAAAGGAGAAGAGAAUCCACAAAGAACAGUCUACUUUAAAGAUUUAACUCUACCACGUUUCUACCUACUUUUGACAAAGACACCAGUAGAGAGAACUGUUUUCUACUAAAAGAGAAACGGCAAGCGCAGUAAGUGGGAACUGGCACCGUCAGUGUUGUGAAGCAGCAGGAAUUGGUGGGACCGUGGAGAACACAUGCCUGUCUAAAGAGGGCAGCAGCUGCCCAGCCAGCCAUAGACUGCAAUGUGGUAAUGUGAGUCCAGUGUUCCCAGAUCUCCUAAUUUUUUGAGAGAUGCCAGAAAUCUGGAUUUUUAUGUGAAAGCUUCCAAUUUCAAGAUGUUGGCUCAAAAAUGUUUUAAACAUUGUACAAGCCAAAUGAAACAUUGCAAUGGGCCAAAUCUAGCCUGUGGGCCAUGGUUUGGGACGUAUGCAGUGCAGCAUGCAGACGAAAGGGGAUCUGCGGCAAUAUAUGGACCUCAAGUAUCACGUCACGUGGCCUAUGGGAAAGAACAGCCUAGUUCAACAUUAUGCGAUAACCUGAAUUUUAAUGCAAUGUUGGUUUCUUGUGUUAGGCUUCUUUUUGUUUCCUUUUCUUUCUUUCUUUUUUUGUUAUCAUUCUUGAUGACGUUAACACAAAGUCAGCCUAACCUAGUGCUGUCAGCGUUAGCAUGAUCACGCACGUCAAUGUGGAGUUAAUUUAAAACGAACACUUUGGGAGAAAGAAACUGUAUAAAUCAAAUAUAUAAUCACUAUUCUGGGGUUUGGAAUUUGCUUCAAGAAAGUUGGCACCUCUUUAGUUUCACUGUGAGAGCAAUAGUCAAUCAUUGGGGCAUCUAGUAGGAUAUGUAAACUGGCAGCAAUUUGAAAUAAAUGUUUAUAUACAUAUAGAUAUAUACAUACAUGCAUUGUACCUAUAGUAUAAUCAUAUAUUAAAUCCUGUGGUCUUUGGCAGAAACUUCUGUACAGCUCUAUUACAAAAUGAUAAAGUAUAUUGCAAAAUAAAAUGUGUAGACAUUAAAACUGGAAUUCAAAAUUUUGUGGUGUUUUUUUAUAUUUGUCAAACUUUUCAGUAGGUUCUUUGAAGCUUGAUUCUUCAUUUGAGUAUCAGAAAAUCUUUUUCCCAUGUGGAAGCUUACACAUAUUCCUAAGCCACGUGGAAUAGACACUUUGACUUGUACGAAAAAGAUUUGUGGUCUUCGCAAAGCCAUUAUAAUUUCUCUGGUGGUACAGAUGAAGCUAUAAAUAAAUAUAUG
rnacentral:lncRNA from 1 species